rnacentral:rRNA from 1 species
UGGGGAAUUUUGGACAAUGGACGCAAGUCUGAUCCAGCCAUGCCGCGUGCGGGAAGAAGGCCUUCGGGUUGUAAACCGCUUUUGUCAGGGAAGAAACGCGUUUCUCUAAUACAGAGACUUAAUGACGGUACCUGAAGAAUAAGCACCGGCUAACUACGUGCCAGCAGCCGCGGUAAUACGUAGGGUGCAAGCGUUAAUCGGAAUUACUGGGCGUAAAGCGUGCGCAGGCGGUUAUGUAAGACAGAUGUGAAAUCCCCGGGCCCAACCUGGGACAUGCAUUUGUGACUGCAUAGAUAGAGUACGGCAGAGGGAGAUGGAAUUCAGCGUGUAGCAGUGAAAUGCGUAGAUAUGCGGAGAAACACCGAUGGCGGAGGCAAUCCCCUGGGCCUGGACUGACGCUCAUGCACGAAAGCGUGGGGAGCA